GAUGAACGCUAGCGGCAGGCCUAACACAUGCAAGUCGAGGGGUAACAGGAGAGCUUGCUCUCGCUGACGACCGGCGCACGGGUGAGUAACGCGUAUGCAACCUACCCUUAACUGAGGAAUAGCUCCCGGAAACGGGAAUUAAUACCUUAUAAUAUCACGAAAUCGCAUGGUUUUGUGAUAAAAGCUCCGGCGGUUAAGGAUGGACAUGCGUGACAUUAGCUGGUUGGUGAGGUAACGGCUCACCAAGGCUACGAUGUCUAGGGGGCCUGAGAGGGUAGUCCCCCACACUGGUACUGAGACACGGACCAGACUCCUACGGGAGGCAGCAGUGAGGAAUAUUGGGCAAUGGGCACAAGCCUGACCCAGCCAUGCCGCGUGCAGGAAGACAGCCCUACGGGUUGUAAACUGCUUUUGUACGGGAAGAAACCUUCGGACGUGUCCGGAGCUGACGGUACCGUACGAAUAAGCAUCGGCUAACUCCGUGCCAGCAGCCGCGGUAAUACGGAGGAUGCAAGCGUUAUCCGGAUUUAUUGGGUUUAAAGGGUGCGCAGGCGGAAAAUUAAGUCAGUGGUGAAAUCUUACCGCUUAACGGUAAAACUGCCAUUGAUACUGAUUUUCUUGAGUGCAGUUGAGGUAGGCGGAAUGUGUAAUGUAGCGGUGAAAUGCUUAGAUAUUACACAGAACACCGAUUGCGAAGGCAGCUUACUAAACUGUUACUGACGCUGAGGCACGAAAGCGUGGGGAGCGAACAGGAUUAGAUACCCUGGUAGUCCACGCUGUAAACGAUGAUCACUCGCUGUUGGCGAUACAUUGUCAGCGGCUAAGCGAAAGCAUUAAGUGAUCCACCUGGGGAGUACGGCCGCAAGGUAGAAACUCAAAGGAAUUGACGG
rnacentral:rRNA from 1 species